rnacentral:rRNA from 1 species
GACGAACGCUGGCGGCGUGCUUAACACAUGCAAGUCGAACGAUGAACCCGGAGCUUGCUCUGGGGGAUUAGUGGCGAACGGGUGAGUAACACGUGAGUAACCUGCCCUGGACUCUGGGAUAAGCGUUGGAAACGACGUCUAAUACCGGAUAGGACCUUGGAUCGCAUGAUCUGGGGUGGAAAGUUUUUUCGGUCUGGGAUGGACUCGCGGCCUAUCAGCUUGUUGGUGAGGUAAUGGCUCACCAAGGCGUCGACGGGUAGCCGGCCUGAGAGGGUGACCGGCCACACUGGGACUGAGACACGGCCCAGACUCCUACGGGAGGCAGCAGUGGGGAAUAUUGCACAAUGGGCGAAAGCCUGAUGCAGCAACGCCGCGUGCGGGAUGACGGCCUUCAGGUUGUAAACCGCUUUUAGUAGGGAAGAAGGGCUUCGGCUUGACGGUACCUGCAGAAAAAGGACCGGCUAACUACGUG